rnacentral:rRNA from 1 species
GGGUUGUGAGGUUAAGCGACUAAGCGUACACGGUGGAUGCCCUGGCAGUCAGAGGCGAUGAAGGACGUGCUAAUCUGCGAUAAGCGUCGGUAAGGUGAUAUGAACCGUUAUAACCGGCGAUUUCCGAAUGGGGAAACCCAGUGUGAUUCGUCACACUAUCAUUAACUGAAUCCAUAGGUUAAUGAGGCGAACCGGGGGAACUGAAACAUCUAAGUACCCCGAGGAAAAGAAAUCAACCGAGAUUCCCCCAGUAGCGGCGAGCGAACGGGGAGGAGCCCAGAGCCUGAAUCAGUGUGUGUGUUAGUGGAAGCGUCUGGAAAGGCGCGCGAUACAGGGUGACAGCCCCGUACACAAAAAUGCACAUACUGUGAGCUCGAUGAGUAGGGCGGGACACGUGGUAUCCUGUCUGAAUAUGGGGGGACCAUCCUCCAAGGCUAAAUACUCCUGACUGACCGAUAGUGAACCAGUACCGUGAGGGAAAGGCGAAAAGAACCCCGGCGAGGGGAGUGAAAAAGAACCUGAAACCGUGUACGUACAAGCAGUGGGAGCCUCUUUAUGGGGUGACUGCGUACCUUUUGUAUAAUGGGUCAGCGACUUAUAUUCUGUAGCAAGGUUAACCGAAUAGGGGAGCCGAAGGGAAACCGAGUCUUAACUGGGCGUUAAGUUGCAGGGUAUAGACCCGAAACCCGGUGAUCUAGCCAUGGGCAGGUUGAAGGUUGGGUAACACUAACUGGAGGACCGAACCGACUAAUGUUGAAAAAUUAGCGGAUGACUUGUGGCUGGGGGUGAAAGGCCAAUCAAACCGGGAGAUAGCUGGUUCUCCCCGAAAGCUAUUUAGGUAGCGCCUCGUGAAUUCAUCUCCGGGGGUAGAGCACUGUUUCGGCAAGGGGGUCAUCCCGACUUACCAACCCGAUGCAAACUGCGAAUACCGGAGAAUGUUAUCACGGGAGACACACGGCGGGUGCUAACGUCCGUCGUGAAGAGGGAAACAACCCAGACCGCCAGCUAAGGUCCCAAAGUCAUGGUUAAGUGGGAAACGAUGUGGGAAGGCCCAGACAGCCAGGAUGUUGGCUUAGAAGCAGCCAUCAUUUAAAGAAAGCGUAAUAGCUCACUGGUCGAGUCGGCCUGCGCGGAAGAUGUAACGGGGCUAAACCAUGCACCGAAGCUGCGGCAGCGACGCUUAUGCGUUGUUGGGUAGGGGAGCGUUCUGUAAGCCUGCGAAGGUGUGCUGUGAGGCAUGCUGGAGGUAUCAGAAGUGCGAAUGCUGACAUAAGUAACGAUAAAGCGGGUGAAAAGCCCGCUCGCCGGAAGACCAAGGGUUCCUGUCCAACGUUAAUCGGGGCAGGGUGAGUCGACCCCUAAGGCGAGGCCGAAAGGCGUAGUCGAUGGGAAACAGGUUAAUAUUCCUGUACUUGGUGUUACUGCGAAGGGGGGACGGAGAAGGCUAUGUUGGCCGGGCGACGGUUGUCCCGGUUUAAGCGUGUAGGCUGGUUUUCCAGGCAAAUCCGGAAAAUCAAGGCUGAGGCGUGAUGACGAGGCACUACGGUGCUGAAGCAACAAAUGCCCUGCUUCCAGGAAAAGCCUCUAAGCAUCAGGUAACAUCAAAUCGUACCCCAAACCGACACAGGUGGUCAGGUAGAGAAUACCAAGGCGCUUGAGAGAACUCGGGUGAAGGAACUAGGCAAAAUGGUGCCGUAACUUCGGGAGAAGGCACGCUGAUAUGUAGGUGAAGCGACUUGCUCGUGGAGCUGAAAUCAGUCGAAGAUACCAGCUGGCUGCAACUGUUUAUUAAAAACACAGCACUGUGCAAACACGAAAGUGGACGUAUACGGUGUGACGCCUGCCCGGUGCCGGAAGGUUAAUUGAUGGGGUUAGCGCAAGCGAAGCUCUUGAUCGAAGCCCCGGUAAACGGCGGCCGUAACUAUAACGGUCCUAAGGUAGCGAAAUUCCUUGUCGGGUAAGUUCCGACCUGCACGAAUGGCGUAAUGAUGGCCAGGCUGUCUCCACCCGAGACUCAGUGAAAUUGAACUCGCUGUGAAGAUGCAGUGUACCCGCGGCAAGACGGAAAGACCCCGUGAACCUUUACUAUAGCUUGACACUGAACAUUGAGCCUUGAUGUGUAGGAUAGGUGGGAGGCUUUGAAGUGUGGACGCCAGUCUGCAUGGAGCCGGCCUUGAAAUACCACCCUUUAAUGUUUGAUGUUCUAACGUUGGCCCCUUAUCGGGGUUGCGGACAGUGUCUGGUGGGUAGUUUGACUGGGGCGGUCUCCUCCUAAAGAGUAACGGAGGAGCACGAAGGUUGGCUAAUCCUGGUCGGACAUCAGGAGGUUAGUGCAAUGGCAUAAGCCAGCUUGACUGCGAGCGUGACGGCGCGAGCAGGUGCGAAAGCAGGUCAUAGUGAUCCGGUGGUUCUGAAUGGAAGGGCCAUCGCUCAACGGAUAAAAGGUACUCCGGGGAUAACAGGCUGAUACCGCCCAAGAGUUCAUAUCGACGGCGGUGUUUGGCACCUCGAUGUCGGCUCAUCACAUCCUGGGGCUGAAGUAGGUCCCAAGGGUAUGGCUGUUCGCCAUUUAAAGUGGUACGCGAGCUGGGUUUAGAACGUCGUGAGACAGUUCGGUCCCUAUCUGCCGUGGGCGCUGGAGAACUGAGGGGGGCUGCUCCUAGUACGAGAGGACCGGAGUGGACGCAUCACUGGUGUUCGGGUUGUCAUGCCAAUGGCACUGCCCGGUAGCUAAAUGCGGAAGAGAUAAGUGCUGAAAGCAUCUAAGCACGAAACUUGCCCCGAGAUGAGUUCUCCCUGACCCUUUAAGGGUCCUGAAGGAACGUUGAAGACGACGACGUUGAUAGGCCGGGUGUGUAAGCGCAGCGAUGCGUUGAGCUAACCGGUACUAAUGAACCGUGAGGCUUAACCUUACAACGCCGAAGGUGUUU